CCUUGGCAAUCAAAAGUGUAAUGUCAGGCAGUUACAAUAAAAAAACUAAUUACAAUCAAAAAGGCUACACACCCCACCCCUCCCCCCUGUAACAUUCCUAAACCCUGGCAACCAUUAAUCUGUUCUCCAGCUCUGUAAUGUCAUUUGACAAAGUUAUUUCAUUGCAAUCAUACAGUAUGUGACCUUUCGAGAUCGGCUUUUUCACUCAGCAUAAUGCCCUGAGGUGCCUCCAAGUUGUUUUGUGUAUCAGUAGUUCUUUCUUUCACAUCAGCUAAUUUAUGUGUUCUUUGCUGUGAUUAAAUGUUUUGAGCUUUUGAGCAGCUAUAGAGAAAAAUUUAUUGGUGAAUAAAGUGGCUAGUGACUGAGUAAGCAGCUUAAAAAAAAAAAAAAGAUUGUAGUAGUUUGAGUGUGGGGUGAUGGGAAGAGGCCUGGACUCGUAUCAUGUCUGCAAAGGAAGAGCUACAGGGAAGAGAGGGCCUAGAUACUGAAUCAGCAAUGAGGGUGGAAACCGAACAUGACUCCAGGUCUGCACACCUGAAGCCCAGCAGUCCAGCUGACUGACCAGAUUCCGAAGAAGCAGCCUAGGAACUUUUGGUGCCCAACCUGGAGAUGGUGGCCUGAGUAUCAAGAGUAACGCACUCUGGAUCAAACCUAUCUUGAGGUUCAUGCUGCCUUUGGACUUUCAAAUCACAAGCUACACAUUCGUUUUAUGGGUUAAACCAGUUUGUGGCUAGAAACUGAUUGCUGCGCUCACCUGUGACCGCCCAGC